GCAAACGGGCCCUGUUUGAAUGAGUGAAGUAGAUAUUCCCGCAAGGAACAAAUCACAUAGAGAGGGUUUAACUCAUUGCAUAGACUACCUCAGAGACGAUGAAGCUGUUGAUCUUGGUAGCUGCUUUACUGGCCGUGACCAGUGCUGCCAGCAUAUCUCUGGAGGACCCAGAGGUCCAUGCCUCUAAAACUGCUUGAAGGUGAACGUAUUUGCUGAAUAGAUGCUGGAUUGGCCGUGGUGUUGUAGAGGCUGUUGGAAUGCUGUAGGAGUGGGCUUCGGUCACUGACGCCUCUUCUCCUCCACCCGUCUUCUUCAUUAAAGAUGCUCUCCAUGCAGAUCUCGAGUCUGACUCAGUUCACUGUGGCAUCCUUGGUGUGUGAGUGCUUGCGCGUCUGUGUGUG